rnacentral:rRNA from 1 species
AGUGAACGCUGGCGGUAGGCCUAACACAUGCAAGUCGAACGGCAGCACAGUAAGAGCUUGCUCUUACGGGUGGCGAGUGGCGGACGGGUGAGGAAUACAUCGGAAUCUACUUUUUCGUGGGGGAUAACGUAGGGAAACUUACGCUAAUACCGCAUACAACCUACGGGUGAAAGCAGGGGAUCUUCGGACCUUGCGCGAUUGAAUGAGCCGAUGUCGGAUUAGCUAGUUGGCGGGGUAAAGGCCCACCAAGGCGACGAUCCGUAGCUGGUCUGAGAGGAUGAUCAGCCACACUGGAACUGAGACACGGUCCAGACUCCUACGGGAGGCAGCAGUGGGGAAUAUUGGACAAUGGGCGCAAGCCUGAUCCAGCCAUACCGCGUGGGUGAAGAAGGCCUUCGGGUUGUAAAGCCCUUUUGUUGGGAAAGAAAAGCAGCAGGUUAAUACCCCGCUGUUCUGACGGUACCCAAAGAAUAAACACCGGCUAACUUCGU